GAGAAGCAGAGGGAGAAGCAGGCUCCCAAGGAGCAGGGAGCCUGAUGCAGGACUCGAUCCCGGGACCCUGGGAUCAUGACCCGAGCCGAAGGCGGAGGCUUAACCAUCUGAGCCACCCAAGCGCCCGAUAAAAUGCCUUCCUGACAGGAUGCACCGAGGCAAAGAUUUGAGAAAUAUUCUAUGGCUUAGAAUUCCUUCCUUCUUAUACCUGCUCCAUACUUCAUGAACACAUGGCUGGUAAUGCUGAGCAUCCUGCUAAAACAGUUACAACUUUCAGCUGUCGUGGAAACUCAAAAUUGUCCAAAGUGGGAAACCGUGCAGGAACUGUGACUGUCUUGAGCUCGGCAGAGCCUCCAGAAAAAAGGAGCAGUCCGCUUUGCUGAGCUCAGCUGCACAA